rnacentral:sRNA from 1 species
CGGAGCGCGCGCCCGGCUUUGAAUGAGCGGGGCUGGGAGUGAACGGGCGGAGCGCGAGCUCGAGGAAGAGACAGGCAGCGCGCGUGAGCGCGCCUUGUGUGCGCGCGCGGCCCGCGGCAGCUCGGAGCCUCCGCCGGGCGGGCGGGGAGGGGGAGGGGCAGGUUUUGAUUCCCACCAUGGCCAUCACCCAGUUUCGGUUAUUUAAAUUUUGUACCUGCCUAGCAACAGUAUUCUCAUUCCUAAAGAGAUUAAUAUGCAGAUCUGGAAGAGGACGGAAAUUAAGUGGAGACCAAAUAACUUUGCCAACUACAGUUGAUUAUUCAUCAGUUCCUAAGCAGACAGAUGUUGAAGAGUGGACUUCCUGGGAUGAAGAUGCACCCACCAGUGUAAAGAUCGAAGGAGGGAAUGGGAAUGUGGCAACACAACAAAAUUCUUUGGAACAAUUGGAACCUGACUAUUUUAAGGACAUGACACCAACUAUUAGGAAAACUCAGAAAAUUGUUAUUAAGAAGAGAGAACCAUUGAAUUUUGGCAUCCCAGAUGGGAGCACAGGUUUCUCUAGUAGAUUAGCAGCUACACAAGAUCUGCCUUUUAUUCAUCAGUCUACAAGUCAUUGGGUUGGGGCUACAAUCAUCUGAAGGCUUGACUGUGGUCGAAGGAUUCAUUUCAAAGACAGCUCACUUCUACACCUGACAAAUUAAUGCUGUUUGUUUGCACAAAGCCUCAGUUCCUUGCUGUGCACCUCUCCAAGGAGCUGCUUGAAUUUCUUUAUGAUGUAACUCCUGAUUUUCC